GUCUACAGCCAUACCAUCCUGAAUGCACACGAUCUCAUCUGAUCUCAGAAGCUAAGCAGGGUUGGGUCUGGUUAGUACUUGGAUGGGAGACUGUAGGUGCUGUAGGCU
rnacentral:rRNA from 1 species